rnacentral:rRNA from 1 species
CACCAGGUUGAUUCUGCCUGACGUAGACGCUAUACUCUAAGAUUAACCCAUGCAUGUUUAUUGAAUAUAAAGAAAAGACGAACAGCUCAGUAACUCUUAUUUGAUUUGAUGUAUUAGGAUUCUAACUAUGUUAAAUUAUAGGUAACAAUAAUACAAUAAGAAUAAGAUCUAUCAGUUAGUUGUUAAGGUAAUGGCUUAACAAGACUAUGACGGAUAACGGUAUUACUUUGUAAUAUUCCGGAGAAGGAGCCUGAGAGAUUGCUACUAAGUCUAAGGAUUGCAGCAGGGGCGAAACUUGACCUAUGAUAUUAUAUUGAGGCAGUUAUGAGUAGUAUUUUAUAAUUAUUGUAGUAUUGUAAGUACAUAUUACAAGAUAAAUCGGAGGGCAAAUCGAGUGCCAGCAGCCGCGGUAAUACUUGUUCCGAUAGUGUGUAUGAUGAUUGAUGCAGUUAAAAAGUCUGUAGUUUAUUUAUAAUAAGCAUUGUAAGGUAUACUGUAUGGUUAGGAGAGAGAUGAAAUGUGAUAACCCUAACUGGAUGAACAGAAGCGAAAGCUGUAUACUUAAAUGUAUUAUUAGAACAAGGACGUAAGCUAGAGGAUCGAAGAUGAUUAAAUACCAUUGUAGUUCUAGCAGUAAACUAUGUUGAAUCAUAGAUAUAUUUUGAUAUAUAUUUAUGUAGAGAAAUUAAGAUUAUAUUGACUCUGGGGAUAGUAUGAUCGCAAGAUUGAAAAUUAAAGAAAGUGACGGAAGAAUACCACAAGGAGUGGAUUGUGCGGCUUAAUUUGACUCAACGCGGGGUAAUUUACCAGGUAUAACAUGGUAUAAUAUUUUAUCAUGAUAGUGGUGCAUGGCCGUUUCCAAUGGAUGCUGUGAAGUAAUGAUUAAUUUCAACAAGAUGUGAGACCCUCAUUUAGACAGAUGUAGUGAUACAUAUGAAGGAGAGGAUUAAAACAGGUCCGUUAUGCCCUAAGAUAAUCUGGGUUGCACGCGCAAUACAAUAAUAUUUGAUAUUAUAAGGGAUAAUAUAAUGUAAGAUAUAUUUGAACAUGGAAUUGCUAGUAAAUUUUAUUUAAUAAGUAGAAUUGAAUGAGUCCCUGUUCUUUGUACACACCGCCCGU